rnacentral:rRNA from 1 species
UACGAGAGGCCCAAACAUUAUUCGGAAUUACUGGGCUUAAAGAGUUCGUAGGCGGCAUGGAAAGUAGGGUGUGAAAUCCCUCGGCUCAACCGAGGAAUUGCGCUCUAAACUGCCGUGCUAGAGGAAGCUAGAGGUGAGCGGAACUGAUGGUGGAGCGGUGAAAUGCGUUGAUAUCAUCAGGAACACCGGAGGCGAAAGGCGGCUCACUGGGGCUUUUCUGACGCUGAGGAACGAAAGCCAGGGUAGCGAACGGG